CCACUCUCACACCACUCACCACGAAAAAAAAACAACCGCUCCGCCUCCACUUCUCCCCCUCCUCCUCACGUCGCCCCUCCCAUACCUUCCCCUGCGCCCGCGCACCGCCUCCUAGCCGACGACCUGCUACUUCCUUUCCCCUCGCUCGCCGUGUGGCCUCAUCUCCUCCUCCGCCCGCUGCGCCGCCUCCUUUCCCCAUCCGCUCGCUGACUCAUCUCCUCCGUCCGUGCGGCGCGGGUCUUCGUUCUUGCCUCCGGCGGCCAUGGCCACGUCCUGGCGAGUGAGGGGCAGCAGCGGAGGAGUCAGUGGCGGAUUGCGCGGUUAUAUUUCCGGCGACGACCUGGCGGUGCGACCGGCGGCCUCAGAGCUGGCAGCGCGGAUAAUUCAACGUAGCGACGAUCGCACAGGCAGGUUCCGGCGACGGCCUGGCGGUGCGGCCCCUCUUCGGCCACGGCAGCGCGCGAUCAAGCGGCGACAGAGGAGAAGUCAGUGGCAGAGAGGGGAUGUGCUGAGGUCUGCGGGGUGACGGCUCUGAUCCUCCUCCUCCAGCGCUGGCUCCGCUCACGUACCAACGGCUGCCGAGUCGCUACGACGUCUGGUUGAGAACUCCACGGCAGUACUCCGGUUCACAAUGAUGAAGACAAUUUUGGAUCAAGGCAGCCCUCACCUGUUCGAUGUAAUGCCCGUGUUUUUUUUUUAUGUCAAGUUCUCACCCUUGAUUUGACUUAGUCGUAGUUUCUUUUCUUGAUUCCUCUAAAAAUUAAGGAACAGAAUGGAUUUUGUCUUCACUUCUCUUUUUCAGAUGUGUCUGUAUCUGUUUGCAGGUUCUGGGUUAUGAGAAUUUAUUCUCUGUUGUCUGAAGAACAUGAUGCAGCUUUAUAUUUUUUUCAUUCUCUGAACUAGGUUUGGAGUGGGCUUUUGAUGUUCAGAAUAAGCGAAAUGCAUUUUACAAUUGGCAGUUUGCUGAAGUAAAUUUCUAGAAUACAUACCAUGCAUGUUCUCCCCAAUUUUUAUGACCUACUAAGAGCUUGCCCAGUUGCCUCUUGAAGAUAAUGAAAUCUGAAAUACUGCAAUAACUUUGAUCUAUCAGUUCUUCUACAGUAGCUUAUUUUCAUUCAUUUAUCUGCACAGAAAUAGAUCUGUGUACCAAAUUUUAUAUGAAUCUUUGGAUUUGUACUGGUUGUUUUGAAAGAAUACAUUUUAUAUAGUGCUAUGGACAGGUUAUAUGUCAAUUUUGAAAUGUACUGAAGUUGGAUGUUACGAACACCAUAGCUUUAUAUGUCAAUGCAUAAUAUCAAUAAAAAACUGCAUGUUUUCAAUUUUUGGUAUACUGUCAACAAGGUAAACAAGUGUUUUUUUUUCCUUGUACCGUAAGAUCCCUGAUUUGUCUUGAAUGUAGUGUGUCUUGCAUGAUUCAUUUGGUAGCAGAUUUUUCUUUAUGUUGGUGAUCUUUCCAGGGAACUGGAUCAGUUUAGGAUAUGAACAUUCAUAUUAAUUUUUCAGGUCCUGAAACAAUAAUUCAGCAAACAUGUUGUUUCAGGACAGAGAGCACAGUCGACUAAUUAAUUAUGAGAUAAUAACGAUCAGUCAUGGAUUUGACCUAAAUGGUAGAUUGCUCCCAGUUUUUCCAUUAACGAAUUUGUUGCAAGUCCAUACCUAUAUCUAAUUUACUUGCAAGGUGACUGUUUGAGAUUGCUCUAGCUAGCAUAUGUUACGCCUUCUUUCCUUAUACAGAUUCAAAGACGUAUUGCAAUGUUCCAACAAAUAUCUAAAGAUCUCUCAAGCCAUGCUCUUUUUUUUCUUGAUUUCAACAGUCAUGCUCUGAUUUAGUGAUUUCUCCCCUACCCUGUGUAGAUAUGUCAAGUUUAGAGGAGCAGUGAACAAGAACAACGAGGUGUCAAGGAAAACAAUGUACUCUGCCCAACCAUGUUCUUCCAUGCCAAUCUUUCACAUGUAUUUAGUAGAGUGCUUCAAUCUGUAAAGUUCGUGAACUUUUGGUUUGAAUAAGAGAUACAUCGCAAAAUACUGGCCUACUUUUAUUUUAUUUUCUGGUGUGGAAAUCAUUGUUCUCUUAUGUAAUUCAAGCCAUCAAGGAUGUUGUAAAAAAUGCCUCUUUUGAAUCUUCAAGAUCAAUGAGCGGCAGUUCAGAUAUCUCAAUAGUUAAUGAUUUGAAGUU